rnacentral:rRNA from 1 species
CAGCAGCCACGGUAAUACGUAGGGUGCGAGCGUUAAUCGGAAUUACUGGGCGUAAAGCGUGCGCAGGCGGUUAUAUAAGACAGAUGUGGAAUCCCCGGGCUCAACCUGGGACCUGCAUUUGUGACUGUAUAGCUAGAGUACGGUAGAGGGGGAUGGAAUUCCGCGUGUAGCAGUGAAAUGCGUAGAUAUGCGGAGGAACACCGAUGGCGAAGGCAAUCCCCUGGACCUGUACUGACGCUCAUGCACGAAAGCGUGGGGAGCAAACAGGAUUAGAGACCCGUGUAGUCCCUGUCUCUUAUAC